UGUUCCUGUAGCACAAUGGAUAGUGCGUUGGACUCCUAAUUCAAAGUUCGUGGUUUCUCAUCCCACCUGGGCAG